AGGAGCAGCAGAACCGAGGCCGCGAGGCCCAUCCGGAUGAGAUUCUGCACCGUGUAGUCUGGGGUGAGGGCGCACAGGUCAGCGCCGGCCCGUCACCCGGAACCGGGGUGUGCGCCCAGGGCACCCGCCUCCCGGGAGAGGACGUGGCCCCGAGCCCAGCCCCUGACGGGGACGCUGUCCUCCUCCUCACUCUGGGUCUGACCGCGGUGAUGGGGGAGGGUGUCAGGGGGCCCGAGGGUGCUGAAGGGAGGCUGUGGGUGGGCCGUGUCCUCCUCGGGGAGCCUCCCGGGGCCUCUCUGUCUUACUGUCUCAGACGUUCCUGCUCAGGACCCUGAGCUGACGGAGCUCAGACAGCACAGGAUGGGGCCCGCCCCUGAGCGGUGGUCUGCGGGGUCCCGGGGACCCACCACCGCUCCCCACAGCCACUGGCUCAGCCCUCUUCGUCUGCGGGCUUGAUUCUACCCGGGGGAGGGGGCGAUCCCUGGAGCCUCCGGGGGCAGGAUGGGGUGGAGGCGGGCCUGCUUCUCCCCAGACUGACCCCCCUCCCGCAGCCUCAGGCCCCUACAGCCUGUGGUUCCCGCGCCU